rnacentral:rRNA from 1 species
CUAGCGGCAGGCUUAACACAUGCAAGUCGAGGGGCAUCGGGAGUAGCAAUACUUGCCGGCGACCGGCGCAAGGGUGCGUAACGCGUGAGCAACAUGCCCGUAUCAGGGGGAUAAUCCAUGGAAACGUGGUCUAAUACCCCAUAGUAAUUAUGUAAGGCAUCUUAUAUAAUUUAAAGCUUUGGUGGAUACGGAUUGGCUCGCGUGACAUUAGCUAGAUGGUAAGGUAACGGCUUACCAUGGCUACGAUGUCUAGGGGUUCUGAGAGGAAGGCCCCCCACACUGGAACUGAGACACGGUCCAGACUCCUACGGGAGGCAGCAGUGAGGAAUAUUGGACAAUGGAUGGAAAUCUGAUCCAGCCAUGCCGCGUGCCAGGAAGACGGCCCUAUGGGUUGUAAACUGCUUUUGUAUGGGAGCAAUAAGGGCUACGCGUAGUCCGAUGAGAGUACCAUACGAAUAAGCACCGGCUAACUCCGUGCCAGCCGCAGC